rnacentral:rRNA from 1 species
AGUGAACGCUGGCGGUAGGCCUAACACAUGCAAGUCGAACGGCAGCACAGGAGAGCUUGCUCUCUGGGUGGCGAGUGGCGGACGGGUGAGGAAUACAUCGGAAUCUACUUUUUCGUGGGGGAUAACGUAGGGAAACUUACGCUAAUACCGCAUACGACCUACGGGUGAAAGCAGGGGACCUUCGGGCCUUGCGCGAUUGAAUGAGCCGAUGUCGGAUUAGCUAGUUGGCGGGGUAAAGGCCCACCAAGGCGACGAUCCGUAGCUGGUCUGAGAGUAUGGUCAGCCAAACGGGAACGGAGACACGGUCCAGACGCCUACGGGAGGCAGCAGUGGGGAAUAGUGGACAAUGGGCGCAAGCCUGAGCCAGCCAUACCGCGUGGGUGAAGAAGGCCUUCGGGUUGUAAAGCCCUUUUGUUGGGAAAGAAAUCCAGCUGGCUAAUACCCGGUUGGGAUGACGGUACCCAAAGAAUAAGCACCGGCUAACUUCGUGCCAGCCGCCGCGGUAA